rnacentral:lncRNA from 1 species
GCGGAUGAAGAUAAUAAGUAUAUAUCUAUAUAAGUAUUGUGUUCGAAUAUCUAACAAAUGAGAGGUAGCUCAAGGUAAUAGUUUGUUAGCAUUGUGGUCUCAUUUUUUCCCCAUUGGAGACUCCGCAUAAAUUCUCAUAUGAUGCGCUAGAAAAAAAACAUAAAUCCUAGAAAUUUUUUAAAAAAUCAUAAACAUCAAACAUCAAUCUUGUAAACUCUAAUAGUCAUAGUCAUUGCAAUUAUAUUUUCUAAAAUGUUACCCACCAAAAUAUUUUAAAUUAAACCAUAAACUUAUAUCUAAAUUACCAAGCUCUGCCAUUGUAAAAAUAAUCUAAAGCAACCCCAUAAUUUUCAUCAAAUUUACUCAUGCAUACUAUAUAAACCAUAACCUAAAAUAUCAUUCUAAAUUUGUAUCUAAGUUACCC